ensembl:snoRNA
ACCCCCUGGAAAUGGUCAAAGAAAUACCUUGUUCAUGGUUUGUUCUUAUAUCAGUCAGGGGCAGAGCAGAUGGCUGUACUUUGCUCAUCCUAGAUUGAUGCAUGGUUUGGUGGCUAAAGCUGAUUUAUGCCUAGGACACAUAA